UCAGUGAAUCAUCGAGUCUUUGAACGCACAUUGCGCCCCCUGGCAUUCCGGGGGGCAUGCCUGUCCGAGCGUCAU
rnacentral:rRNA from 2 species